UAUACGACUCUCGGCAACGGAUAUCUCGGCUCUCGCAUCGAUGAAGAACGUAGCGAAAUGCGAUACUUGGUGUGAAUUGCAGAAUCCCGUGUUCCAUCGAGUCUUUGAACGCAAGUUGCGCCCGAGGCCUUUCGGUUGAGGGCACGCCUGCCUGGGCGUCACGC
rnacentral:rRNA from 6 species